AAAAAUUGAAACUUCGCCUGAAUGGUUGCCACGUGUCCCACUAAAGUACUUUGAAAAAAAGAAGGGAGAAGCCUUUUCUUCUUGUUCUCUGUAACUCGCCCUAUUCUCAGUAAUUGAAGCACUGGCAACUUAGGGUUGGCGACUGCCGACUUAGGGUUGCCAACUAACGAAAAGUCAUUUUCCUUUUCUCCUUGUUCUCAGCGACUAGCGACUUAGGGUUGGCGAGUGGCGGCUUACGGUUGGCGACUGGCAAGAGAAGAGAUCGUGUGGAGAAAAAUCUAGGGUUUCUUUGAAAUUGUAGAACUACAGCGAGGAUUAUCACUACCUGCGGAUUUAGUUAAUCGAGAAACUAUUUCAGAACCCCUCCUGGAGAAGUGAAGUUAUAAGUGAUGAAAGAAAUAGCUAAAGAAUGUCAGACUGACUAGUAUACUUGAAACCUUGGUUUGGAAAAUUAUGUCUUUUUUUUUUUUUCCUGAAGCACCUAUAAAUACUCCGGCCUUAAUAUUUGAUUUUGGAUUGCUGAUACGCUAUGAUAAGACAGAUGAGUGCAAAGAGUGAUGUUUAUAGCUUUGGUCUUGUCCCGCUGGAACUCUUAAUUGGGCGGAAGCCUGUUAAUCAUACUCUGUCGCGUGAGCAGCAGAGCCUUGUGACAUGCGCAACUCCAAAACUCAGUGAAGAUAAGGUGAAGCAAUUCGGUGACGUUAAGUUAAAUAGAGAGAAUAGCCUCUUAAGGCAGUUGCAAAGGUACUGAAGAUGGUAACUUUGACUGAAAAUAAUAGAUCAAAUUCGACCUUUCUUGGCGCAAGAGCAAAGGAUUGUGAAGAAGGUUUUGAAAUUCUAGAAAGCAAAGGAAAAUCAAGCUUCAAGGAGCUAGCAAGCGGGAGGUUGAAAGCAAAACUUUUUGGAUUUUAAGAAAUGAAUGAGAAACUGGAAAAACUUCUUUCUUUU